rnacentral:snoRNA from 1 species
AGACCAUGAUGAGGGCACCGCCUAAGCAAGUCCUUGUAUCUUUCCUAAGCCUCAUACAUUGAUUUAGCAAUGUGGCUGCAUGAAUGAUGUGAUAUCAUUCCUCAUUUU